GAUAAACGCUGGCGGCGUGCCUAAAACAUGCAAGUCGAACGGGCGUCGGCCUUCGGGCUGGUGCCAGUGGCGGACGGCUGAGUAACACGUGGGUGACCUGCCCUCGAGCGGGGGAUAACUGCCCGAAAGGGUGGCUAAUACCGCAGAUGUCACGGCUUCGUUGUUGUGACUGAACCGUUUAGGGUUCGAGGAGGGGCCCGCGGCCGAUUAGCUUGCUGGUGGGGUAAUGGCCUACCAGGGCCGCGAUCGGUAGCUGGUCUGAGAGGAUGAUC
rnacentral:rRNA from 1 species